rnacentral:rRNA from 1 species
AUGAACACCCAGAGGAAGCCUGGAGACUGGAACUGCAACUCGUGCCAGCACCUCAACUUCAGCCGCCGUGACUUCUGUCAGCGCUGCCGUGCCACACGCUCGGAUCUGCAGCUCGGAGACGGCCGCUGUAUAGGUGGUGUGCUGACCUCCCUGGACGUUCGCCCAGGUGACUGGUACUGCAAUUGCGGCUACCACAACUUCGCCAGCCGCUCCAGCUGCCUCAAGUGUGGCACAAUUGUGAGGGACUUCCCAGCAGGCCAGGGUGGCACUGGCGCUGCUGAGAGCGGUGGAGUUCGUGCUGGGUGGAAAACUGGUGACUGGAUAUGCACAAGGCCUGGCUGUAAUGUGCACAACUUUGCAAGCAGAAUUGAGUGCUAUCAUUGCAAUGCACCUAGGGAAGCAGGCACCGGGAAGUGA